UACAGAGGGUGCGAGCGUUAAUCGGAAUUACUGGGCGUAAAGGGCUCGUAGGCGGCCAACUAAGUCAGACGUGAAAUCCCUCGGCUUAACCGGGGAACUGCGUCUGAUACUGGAUGGCUUGAGUUUGGGAGAGGGAUGCGGAAUUCCAGGUGUAGCGGUGAAAUGCGUAGAGAUGUGGAGGAACACCAGUGGCGAAGGCGACUCUUUGGGCCGUAACUGACGCUGAGGAGCGAAAGCAUGGGGAGCGAACAGG
rnacentral:rRNA from 1 species